AGCUUUGCGCAGUGGCAGUAUCGUAGCCUAUGAGGUUUAUCCGAGGUGCGAUUAUUGCUAGUUGAAAACUUUAUCGAAUGCCCUGGUGACUUGAAAUGUCAUCGGCAAUGGCAAUUUUUAACGGUCUCUGAGGAGA
ensembl:snRNA U4 U4 spliceosomal RNA